rnacentral:rRNA from 1 species
AUUGAACGCUGGCGGCAGGCCUAACACAUGCAAGUCGAGCGGAUGACGGGAGCUUGCUCCUUGAUUCAGCGGCGGACGGGUGAGUAAUGCCUAGGAAUCUGCCUGGUAGUGGGGGACAACGUUUCGAAAGGAACGCUAAUACCGCAUACGUCCUACGGGAGAAAGCAGGGGACCUUCGGGCCUUGCGCUAUCAGAUGAGCCUAGGUCGGAUUAGCUAGUUGGUGGGGUAAUGGCUCACCAAGGCGACGAUCCGUAACUGGACUGAGAGGAUGAUCAGUCACACUGGAACUGGGACACGGUCCAGACUCCUACGGGAGGCAGCAGUGGGGAAUAUUGGACAAUGGGCGAAAGCCUGAUUCAGCCAUGCCGCGUGUGUGAAGAAGGUCUUCGGAUUGUAAAGCGCUUUAAGUUGGGAGGAAGGGCAGUAAGUUAAUACCUUGCUGUUUUGACGUUACCGGCAGAAUAAGCACCGGCUAACUCUGUGCCAGCCGCCGCGGUAA